UUCAAGCCAUGGGCAGCAAAUACCAGCAGCUGGGUGCCUCAAUGCACUGCAGGUCAGUAAUAUGUAAGGAGAUCUCACCUUGGUACAUGCAGCAGGAGAGGGUCUAUCACACUGUAAAGAGCAGAACAAGCCAAGACUACUGUAAAUAGAGGCUAGAUAGGCAGUUAGUUGAAAACACAUGAUAUUUACCUAAAGUAAUUGGGUUCCAGUGCUGCCCUAGUACUUCACGCCACAUUGUACAGUCAUUAAUACUUGGGAAACUGCAGCCUGCUAGACCACACACAUCUUUUAAAGGGGGGAGAGGAGAAGACUUAGACCUGGAAGUUUUGGUGCUGUAACAUUAUUAGACAACGCAGAAGGGACAACCUGCUCAAGACAAGAGAACGCACCUUAUAAAACCAAGAACUGAUAAACCUAGCAAUACACCAACCUUGCAAGACCGCACAGGAUAAGCAAGCUUAAAGUGAUGUAUUAGAAACCUCCCAAUUGGUUCAAUAGUCAUUAUUCCACCAGCAAUAGACUCUCUUUUUACCAGGUGAUCUAUUUCAAGCUCUAUGAACCAGUAGCAGAAAUCAGCUUGGCUACUGUAGUGUAAAUGAUUAAAAUAUGUAAACUGUUUUCUUUCGAUUAAUGAUUUUCUGUAGGUUUCAAAUGGAUUAAGAUACCAGUACGUAGAAGUGGUAUAUAUAUAACUAACAGUAAAGAUAUUUUUUUAAAAAAGGUAAGAAAUGUGAAUCAUUGGGAAUUCUGCUGGAAAAAAACUUAAUAGUUCAAAAUUGCAAACUUACCUGUAUAGCAGUUCAUAGCAACAAAAAAAAACCAUUCCUUUGGCAAACAUAACGUUCCAGUUCUAUGUCUUUGCUUCUAUUCAUUGUAUGUAGACAUAUCCAUUGUAUGAUAUUUUGCGAUCUGAUUUAGACAUCCAAAAUGUCUUAAUCAGUCAAACCAUACAGCUUACAUGCAGCAGAUGUUUGCUAAAUAAACAAAUAAUAAUAAUAAUAAUAAUAAUAAUAAUAAUAAUAAUAAUAAUAAUAUGGAUGUGGAUUCUGAUAAUGCUGGGGAAAGGAACACGCUCUCUUGCUCAAAACAACUGUUGCCUACUAAGUUAUCAACAAUGUAAAGAGAUGGAUCUUUGGUAAGUUUUACUAAAAGGGUUUCUGUCUUUCCCCAGCCUACAGCUGCUGCUCAGACAUAUAAGAACAUAAGAACAUAAGAAAGUUUACAAACGAGAGGAGGCCAUUCAGCCCAUCUUGCUCGUUUGGUUGUUAGUAGCUUAUUGAUCCCAGAAUCUCAUCAAGCAGCUUCUUGAAGGAUCCCAGGGUGUCAGCUUCAACAACAUUACUGGGGAGUUGGUUCCAGACCCUCACAAUUCUCUGUGUAAAAAAGUGCCUCCUAUUUUCUGUUCUGAAUGCCCCUUUAUCUAAUCUCCAUUUAUGACCCCUGGUCCUUUUUUCUUUUUUCAAGUCAAAGAAGUCCCCCGGGUUGACAUUGUCUAUACCUUUUAGGAUUUUGAAUGUUUGAAUCAGAUCGCCGCGUAGUCUUCUUUGUUCAAGACUGAAUAGAUUCAAUUCUUUUAGCCUGUCUGCAUACGACAUGCCUUUUAAACCCGGGAUAAUUCUGGUUGCUCUUUGCACUCUUUCUAGAGCAGCAAUAUCCUUUUUGUAACGAGGUGACCAGAACUGAACACAAUAUUCUAGGUGAGGUCUUACUAAUGCAUUGUAAAGUUUUAACAUUGCUUCCCUUGAUUUAAAUUCAACACUUCUCACAAUAUGUGACGGGAGGGGAGGUACAGGUACCAACAAGUGAUGGUUUGAACAUGCAAUGAGAAUCUAGAGGAAUCACAGCAAUGUGUAUAUCUUAAAUAUAUCGUAUGGCUUAUUUCCUUGAAAACUGUAAUUCUAGCAUUUUCAUUAUCGGUUAUAUUGCUUUUCUCUUAAAUGUGUAAAGAAAUGUUAUUGUUUUUAUCCCUGGACUUCUAAACAGAAUACAUGCUUGUGUCUGAAUAAAAUAUUACAAGGGAAAACAUUUUAUAAUUUAUUUUUUUGGUGGGAGGGGGGGGUCAUCAAUCUAUCAUAAAAGAUGGAUAUUUAAAUUUAUUUUUUUAAGGACAGACUGCUUUUGACAACCAUUUGUGUUAUGGUGCAAUCCCUUUGCUGUGUAAUGGACCCAGAUAUAUAUAUUGUACAAUACCCUGUGGGCCUUCUACAGUAGUGUGGCAAAGAAAUACAAACAAACAGCUUUCAACUGUGCUCUUUUAUUCCUUUUACCUUCAACAAAACACUGUCAUUACAGGUCAAUUAAACAGAACUGUGCUUUACGACAUACGUUUUACAAUAAUAGAAUAUAGAAUAAUAAAAGGCAUCCCAGUUU